rnacentral:rRNA from 1 species
ACGCUGGCGGCGUGCCUAACACAUGCAAGUCGAACGGGGUUGAGCCCUUCGGGACUCGACUUAGUGGCGAACGGGUGAGUAACGCGUGAGGAACCUGCCUCUCAGUGGGGGACAACAGUUGGAAACGACUGCUAAUACCGCAUAACAUAUCUGGACCGCAUGAUCUGGAUAUCAAAGCUUUAUGUGCUGAGAGAUGGCCUCGCGUCUGAUUAGCUAGUUGGUGGGGUAACGGCCCACCAAGGCGACGAUCAGUAGCCGGUCUGAGAGGAUGAACGGCCACAUUGGGACUGAGAUACGGCCCAGACUCCUACGGGAGGCAGCAGUGGGGAAUAUUGGGCAAUGGGCGAAAGCCUGACCCAGCAACGCCGCGUGAGUGAAGAAGUAUUUCGGUAUGUAAAGCUCUAUCAGCAAGGAAGAUAAUGACGGUACUUGACUAAGAAGCCCCGGCUAACUACGUG